UACGAAGGGGGCAAGCGUUGCUCGGAAUCACUGGGCGUAAAGCGCACGUAGGCGGUUCUUUAAGUCAGGGGUGAAAUCCUGGAGCUCAACUCCAGAACUGCCUUUGAUACUGGGGAUCUCGAGUCCGGAAGAGGUGAGUGGAACUCCGAGUGUAGAGGUGAAAUUCGUAGAUAUUCGGAAGAACACCAGUGGCGAAGGCGGCUCACUGGUCCGGUACUGACGCUGAGGUGCGAAAGCGUGGGGAGCAAACAGG
rnacentral:rRNA from 1 species